GCCAGGGUGGUGGAACUGGUAGACACGCAGGACUUAAAAUCCUGUGAACGCAAGUUCGUACGGGUUCGAUUCCCGUCCCCGGUA
rnacentral:tRNA from 4 species